GCUUACCAUGCAGUCGAGCGCCCCGCAAGGGGAGCGGCAGACGGGUGAGUAACGCGUGGGAAUCUACCCAACCCUACGGAAUAACGCAUGGAAACGUGUGCUAAUACCGUAUACGCCCUACGGGGGAAAGAUUUAUCGGGGAUGGAUGAGCCCGCGUUGGAUUAGCUAGUUGGUGGGGUAAAGGCCUACCAAGGCGAUGAUCCAUAGCUGGUCUGAGAGGAUGAUCAGCCACAUUGGGACUGAGACACGGCCCAAACUCCUACGGGAGGCAGCAGUGGGGAAUAUUGGACAAUGGGCGCAAGCCUGAUCCAGCCAUGCCGCGUGAGUGAUGAAGGCCCUAGGGUUGUAAAGCUCUUUCACCGAUGAAGAUAAUGACGGUAGUCGGAGAAGAAGCCCCGGCUAACUUCGUGCCAGCAGCCGCGGUAAUACGAAGGGGGCUAGCGUUGUUCGGAAUUACUGGGCGUAAAGCGCACGUAGGCGGAUAUUUAAGGUCAGGGGUGAAAUCCCAGAGCUCGACUCUGGAACUGCCUUUUGAUACUGGGUAUUUGAGUAUGGAUGAGGUAAGUGGAAUUCCGAGUGU
rnacentral:rRNA from 1 species